AUUGAACGCUGGCGGCAGGCUUAACACAUGCAAGUCGAGCGAGCGGCGGACGGGUGAGUAAUGUCUGGGAAACUGCCUGAUGGAGGGGGAUAACUACUGGAAACGGUAGCUAAUACCGCAUACCAUCAGAUGUGCCCAGAUGGGAUUAGCGAGUAGGUGGGGUAACGGCUCACCUAGGCGACUAUCCCUAGCUGGUCUGAGAGGAUGACGAGCCAGACUGGAACUGAGAGACGGUCCAGACUCCUACGGGAGGCAGCAGUGGGGAAUAUUGCACAAUGGGCGCAAGCCUGAUGCAGCCAUGCCGCGUGUGUGAAGAAGGCCUUCGUGUUAUAAAGCACUUUCAGCGGGGAGGCGUUACUCGCAGAAGAAGCACCGGCUAACUCCGUGCCAGCAGACGCGGUAAUAC
rnacentral:rRNA from 1 species